rnacentral:snoRNA from 1 species
GCCGACAGUGAGGGGACAAUUAGUCUCCUCGCAUGGGCUCGGUAUACCCGCCUUCGCAAGGUAUCGGGUUCUAUGAGCGAAGUGUGCUCACACCGAGCCCACAGGGCCGGUGCAUCCACCCGCGCGAGAAAUGAACGCGGGCCUCUGUUGCCGGCCUACAAGUUUUUUAUU